rnacentral:rRNA from 1 species
UACGAAGGGGGCUAGCGUUGUUCGGAUUUACUGGGCGUAAAGCGCACGUAGGCGGAUCGUUAAGUCGGGGGUGAAAUCCUGGAGCUCAACUCCAGAACUGCCUUCGAUACUGGCGAUCUUGAGUCCGGAAGAGGUGAGUGGAACUCCUAGUGUAGAGGUGGAAUUCGUAGAUAUUCGGAGGAACACCAGAGGCGAAGGCGGCCAACUGGCCCGAUACUGACGCUGAGGCACGAAAGCGUGGGGAGCAAACAGG